rnacentral:misc_RNA from 1 species
GAUGAAGAACGUAGCGAAAUGCGAUACGUAGUGUGAAUUGCAGAAUUCAGUGAAUCAUCGAAUCUUUGAACGCACAUUGCGCCCUUUGGUAUUCCAAAGGGCAUGCCUGUUCGAGCGUCAUUUGUACCCUCAAGCUUUGCUUGGUGUUGGGCGUCUUGUCUCCAGUCCGCUGGAGACUCGCCUUAAAGUCAUUGGCAGCCGGCCUACUGGUUUCGCAGCGCAGCACAAGUCGCACUCUUUUCCAGCCAAGGUCAGUGUCCAACAAGCCUUUUUUCAACUUUUGACCUCGGAUCAGGUAGGGAUACCCGCUGAACUUAAGCAUAUCAAUAAGCGGAGGA